GCACAAGCGGUGGAGCAUGUGGUUUAAUUCGAAGCAACGCGAAGAACCUUACCAGGUCUUGACAUCCCUGACAACCCGAGAGAUCGGGCGUUCCCCUUCGGGGGACAGGGUGACAGGUGGUGCAUGGUUGUCGUCAGCUCGUGUCGUGAGAUGUUGGGUUAAGUCCCGCAACGAGCGCAACCCUCGACCUUAGUUGCCAGCAUUCAGUUGGGCACUCUAAGGUGACUGCCGGCUAAAAGUCGGAGGAAGGUGGGGAUGACGUCAAAUCAUCAUGCCCCUUAUGACCUGGGCUACACACGUGCUACAAUGGGCGGUACAAAGGGUCGCGAACCCGCGAGGGGGAGCCAAUCCCAAAAAGCCGCUCUCAGUUCGGAUUGCAGGCUGCAACUCGCCUGCAUGAAGCCGGAAUCGCUAGUAAUCGCGGAUCAGCAUGCCGCGGUGAAUACGUCCCCGGGCCUU
rnacentral:rRNA from 1 species